rnacentral:lncRNA from 1 species
AGUUUUCGUAUCUGAGAUCACGUUACAAUAUGUGAAUGAAAAUAAAUCAACACACGUAUGUGAUCGAUCUUCUGAAAAUUCUCCUACUUUUCUAGAGAAAGAGAAAGCCAUGAAAGAUAGUCGUUUCCGCCCAAAGUGUCCUUACUUUCGAGGGCCGGUCUCCAAGGAUUCAACUCGCAUUUCACAUGAGAGGGAGGGGGAGUCCGCUUGAGUCUUUAGCCUUACUAUAUUGACUCGAGA